rnacentral:lncRNA from 1 species
CUUCUUCAGCAGCGAUGCCCACACGGCAUUGCCCAUCCUUCAGCUCACGUGCGCACGCGAUGUUAUCCCCUCUAUCACCGGAUGCCUUCUCUCCUUCUCCUUCGUCACCGUGCGCUUCACUAUGCCUACCAGCCUACACUCGCCUGCUCUGUUGCGUGCUCCCAUCACCGCACACCUAUUGUCGUGCUUCCCUCCUUCCGUGAACACCAUCACCGCGUGACUUAUCGUCGCGCGACUUACACUGCCGCUCUCUCCAUUGCCACGCGACCCUUCUCUCCUUCUAUCGUCGUGAGUCUAAAUGCUUCCGAAUUACUGUCAUUUGAAAGAUCUGUGUGUGUACUAAAAGUUGCAUGUUGAAUUCUUUUUGAAAUUCCCUAUAGACUGAGAGUUAUGACCCGAAAUGUGAGGGUAUAUUAUUGUUCACAGUUGAUGGAAAUUCCAGCAACUGUCACUCACAUUGUGCCGAGCUUUUCACCCAUCAAAUGCUGCCCAAGAAUCUUCAAACUACCACUAUUUUAAAGAUCCAUGUUUAAACUUAUAGUUGUAUGUUUAAAUCAUUUUAAAAUCCUCUUUAAAUUGGGAGUUAUGCUCCCGAGAAGAGGGGUACGUCACUGCCACUCGUGACCAAGAAAUUCAGCUUUAUGCCUAUCUUGAGAAAUAAAUUGUUUUAUGGUAAAACCCUGCCCAAAUGUGUUCAAAUCACUUUUAAUCAUGAGUAAGUCUAUUUUGAAAUUAGUUUCAAAACCACACGGGAACCGUCCACAGUUUGAUAAUGACGCCCCUUUUUCUAUGAGAAUACAUUGGUGGUGAAUGUGGUGAAAUUGUACACCUUUUUAAAUAAAUUGUUCACUAAUCGACUAAGCGACAAGUGUUACAAGUGAUAAUUGCUAAGCAUAAUGUUAUGUGAUAGUUGAAUGCUGCAUGUCAAAUGCGAAGUACGCAAUGUUAUGUGAUCGUGCAAUAAAUGAUGACCGAUAAGUACAAAUGCCAUGUGAUAGCCCAACGAUAAAUGUUACGUGAUAAAUUCCAUAACGCUAAUGUGAAAUGUGCCAUAAAUGUUGAUUGAUAAGUGUAAGUGCCACUUGAUAGUCCUAUUAUGAUGGAUGUUUUAUGCCAAGUGUCAUAGUGUUACAUGACAUUUGUAUAUUUGUGAACAAGACUCAAACUUUGCAUAAUGAGACUGGAAUUGCUGUCAUAAGGUACUAAUUAAGUACGAGAAAAAUUAAUGCUUGACUGUUCUGUUAUGAUACUGUGAUAUUGACCACUGCGUAAUGGGCCACCCAUUGGUAGUGGGUACUGUUCUAUUAUGAUACUGUGAUAUUGACCACUACGCAAUGGGACACCCAUUGGUAGUGCGACUGAAGUGAUAGAUGCUAUGAGAGCUCUUUGGCAUGCUUUGGGUGUAUCGCAUGAACAAACAUUGAUGUUGGGGGAUGGCUCCUUUGAGAGUAUUGCAGGGCCUGCCUAUGUGACUUAUGCCAAUAAGGUGCAUGCUUUGGGCAUAUUGUAUGACCUGACCUUGUUGUUGUUGUGAAAUGGUAAUAUUCUCUAUGUUGAAAUAAGGGUAUACUCUGUUGUGAUAAGAACAUAUGUGGUGAACCAUAUUCAGUUAUAGAUGAAUGAGUGAUAUUGAGAAAUGCAUAUGAUGAUACUCCUAAAGAAAGGGUUUUUCUGAACUGAUAAUUCAUAUGAUAUCCAUUAUCUGCACUGUGAAUGUGAAUGAUAGCUACAGUAUUGAACAAAUGAGAAUUAUGAUACUUGAAACGACACCUGUAUAGAUGCAUUGAUGAAAUUUAUGGUUUAUAUGAUAUCUACACUGUGAUAGCUUGUAAUUGAGAAAACAGUUUAUUAACACAUGGAUAGGCUCAAUAAUGAUGCUUUGUACCUAGACCUACUUAUUAGGCUUUAUAGCUCAUUCCACUAUUUCUCCCCGCCUUGUAGAUUGAUAGCGUCAGGUUACGGGGCCAGGAGUAUGUGUUUUG